rnacentral:rRNA from 1 species
UACGAAGGGGGCUAGCGUUGCUCGGAAUGACUGGGCGUAAAGGGCGCGUAGGCGGCGGACACAGUCAGAUGUGAAAUUCCCGGGCUCAACCUGGGGGCUGCAUUUGAUACGUGUUUGCUUGAGUGGGGAAGAGGGUCGUGGAAUUCCCAGUGUAGAGGUGAAAUUCGUAGAUAUUGGGAAGAACACCGGUGGCGAAGGCGGCGACCUGGUCCGAUACUGACGCUGAGGAGCGAAAGCGUGGGGAGCGAACAGG